GACGAACGCUGGCGGCGGGCUUAACACAUGCAAGUCGAACGGAAAGGCCCUGCUUUUGUGGGGUGCUCGAGUGGCGAACGGGUGAGUAACACGGGAGUAACCUGCCCUUGACUUUGGGAUAACUUCAGGAAACUGGGGCUAAUACCGGAUAGGAGCUCCUGCUGCAUGGUGGGGGUUGGAAAGUUUCGGCGGUUGGGGAUGGACUCGCGGCUUAUCAGCUUGUUGGUGGGGUAGUGGCGUACCAAGGCUUUGACGGGUAGCCGGCCUGAGAGGGUGACCGGCCACAUUGGGACUGAGAUACGGCCCAGACUCCUACGGGAGGCAGCAGUGGGGAAUAUUGCACAAUGGGCGGAAGCCUGAUGCAGCAACGCCGCGUGCGGGAUGACGGCCUUCGGGUUGUAAACCGCUUUCGCCUGUGACGAAGCGUGAGUGACGGUAAUGGGUAAAGAAGCACCGGCUAACUACGUG
rnacentral:rRNA from 1 species